rnacentral:rRNA from 1 species
GACGAACGCUGGCGGCGUGCCUAAUACAUGCAAGUUGAGCGCUGAAGGUUGGUACUUGUACCAACUGGAUGAGCAGCGAACGGGUGAGUAACGCGUGGGGAAUCUGCCUUUGAGCGGGGGACAACAUUUGGAAACGAAUGCUAAUACCGCAUAAAAACUUUAAACACAAGUUUUAAGUUUGAAAGAUGCAAUUGCAUCACUCAAAGAUGAUCCCGCGUUGUAUUAGCUAGUUGGUGAGGUAGAGGCUCACCAAGGCGAUGAUACAUAGCCGACCUGAGAGGGUGAUCGGCCACAUUGGGACUGAGACACGGCCCAAACUCCUACGGGAGGCAGCAGUAGGGAAUCUUCGGCAAUGGACGAAAGUCUGACCGAGCAACGCCGCGUGAGUGAAGAAGGUUUUCGGAUCGUAAAACUCUGUUUGUAGAGAAGAGCGUUGGUGAGAGUGGAAAGCUCAUCAAGUGACGGUAACUACCCAGAAAGGGACGGCUAACUACGUG